rnacentral:misc_RNA from 1 species
UGGCUCUCGCAUCGAUGAAGAACGCAGCGAAAUGCGAUAAGUAAUGUGAAUUGCAGAUUUUCAGUGAAUCAUCGAAUCUUUGAACGCACCUUGCGCUCCUUGGUAUUCCGAGGAGCAUGCCUGUUUGAGUGUCAUUAAAUUCUCAACCUCAUCGAUUUGUUUCGAGUGAGGCUUGGACUUGGAGUGUGCUGGCCUUCUACGGGUCGGCUCCUCUUUAAAUGCAUCAGCGGAGUUGUCUUUGACUUCCGGUCUCAGUGUGAUAACCAUGUUGCGCUGUCAGCCAAGGUCUCAGUCCGCUUACAAUGGUCUUUGGACAAACAACCCAAUUUUGACCUCAAAUCAGGUAGGAUUACCCGCUGA